AGAAAGGAAGAGAAGCUGAACAAGAAGG
rnacentral:piRNA from 1 species